rnacentral:rRNA from 1 species
UACGACUACAUAUCAGGCAUAUCAAUAAGCGGAGGAAAAGAAACUAACAAGGAUUCCCUUAGUAACGGCAAGUGAAGCGGGAAGAGCUCAAAUUUGAAAUCUUCAAGGUUCUACCUCGACGAAUUGUAGUUUAAAGAAGUGUUUCCUGUUAGAUGAGUAGCAAAAGUUCCUUGGAAUGGGACAUCAUAGAGGGUGAGAAUCCCGUAUUUGGUUAUUCAUUCUAGCUUUGUGAUACACUUUCAAAGAGUCGGAUUGUUUGGGAAUGCAGUCCAAAAUGGGUGGUAAAUUUCAUCUAAAGCUAAAUAUUGGCGAGAGACCGAUAGCGAACAAGUACCGUGAGGGAAAGAUGAAAAGAACUUUGAAAAGAGAGUUAAACAGUACGUGAAAUUGUCAAAAGGGAAGCGUUUGACACCAGUGUUGUUUUUCCGAAAAUCAAUUACGAAUGGCUUGAUUUUGUGUUGUAUUGACCUUAUCAGCUUUCUUCACUUUUUUCGAGUCUUUCUUAAUGCACUUUUCGGUUAACAAGUCAACAUCUAUUUCUUUUGUUGUAAAAGAGUAUUCGGAAGGUGGCUUUCUUUUCGGAGAAAGUGUUUAUAGCCCUAUACUUCUACAAUCGGAGAGAUUGAGGUCUGCAGCGUAGAUCCUUCGGGGUUAGAUACACUUGUGCUAAGUUGUAGCUUUUCAUAGACAACUUGUUGACUAUAUUUAGUCAUGCGGCUUACUCGCUUGUGCUAUUUUACCUACGCUUAGGAUGUUGAGUAGCGACAUACGCAC